CCGUUGGGGAGUUCAGUCGGCGAAACGUAUAUAUAUGAGCGAUUGUGGCGACCAUCCUUCAUUUCUCAUUUAUGAUUUCCCCAGUAAUCGGAGGAAUUUUCAUUUCCUUGCAGAACCCUAAUUCGAUCAUCGAUCGACUGUGAUGGAUCCGGAGGAUGAUCGGAAAUCUCAUCCUCUUACUUUCGGAGGCGAGGAUGCGAACAUCGCCGCAGAUUCGCCGUCGUAUUCGCUUUUUCCGGCGGCGUCUCCGUUCCCAGAGCCACCGCCGCUUUCUCCACUGCUAAGUUUCGAUUCGUUCGAGUCCAAACCGAGCUUUAGAGGGGGAGAGGGUUUAUUGGACGUGCCGAGGCCUCUGGAAUCGUUGAGCGAGACUCCGAUUCCGCCAUUUCUGUCGAAAACAUUCGAUUUGGUGGAGGAUCCUUCAUUGAACAGCAUAAUAUCAUGGGGAUCGAAGGGUAACAGUUUUGUUGUGUGGGAUCCUAUAGAGUUUUCGAGGAUGAUAUUGCCUAAGAAUUUCAAGCACAACAAUUUUUCAAGCUUUGUUCGUCAACUGAAUACAUAUGGAUUCCGAAAGAUUGAUACCGAUAAAUGGGAGUUUGCGAACGAAGGUUUUCUCAGAGGGCAGAGGCAUCUAUUGAGAAGUAUCCAGAGGCGAAGAUCGUCUGCUUCGCCACAGCAGGGUGAAAGCUCAUUGUGUGAGGAAACAGCCAAGACGGCAGUUCAGUCUGAAAUCGAACAGCUGAGGAAACAGCGAAGUAUGAUGAUGCAGGAGGUAGUCGAACUGCAGCAGCAGCAGCGCGGCACGAUUCAUCAAAUGGAAAUGGUUAAUGAGAAGCUUCAUAACGCAGAGAGAAGGCAGAAGCAGAUGGUUUCAUUCAUAGGAAAGAUAUUUCAAAACCCGGAGAUCCUAACUCGUCUACAGGGGACGAAGGAGCAACAGCAAAAGGACAUUACCUUCCCCAAACCACCUCGGAAAUUUGUUAAGCACCACGAAUCAGCAGGGGAUUCCAUCAUCAUCCCAGCAGAGGGGAUAGUGAAGUUCCAGGAUGAACUCACCUUACCAACAACGGCCAUGGAAUCCAAUCCCGACCUCUGGGCCGAGGAUAUAACUGACGAUGACAUGACUAUGGUGCAAGAAUUCAUCAGUACACCAGAGCCAGCCGAAGCAGUUGGCCUAAUCGGGAAAAGUGAUCCAAACACUAAAGGAAAAAACCUAUUGAACCCCCAGCCAUUUCCUUUGUCGUUCUUUCCAGAAGAAUUAUUGGAGGCGAAGAAUGUUCCUGAUUCUGAACUCCCAAUAUCAGUAACUGAAAGUAUUGCGGCAACUACAGAGGCGGGAAUUUGGGGCAUGGCUUUUGAACCUACUGCCGGUUUCCGGUUUUACUGCGCCGGGCUGGGGCCGGGGCCGGGGCCGGGAGGGCCUCUGCGCAUAAUUGACUUCCGGACUGACUGACAGAUACAGAUACAGAUACAGAGUGGGUGUUUUGAUUCUGUUGAGUGAAUUUGGAAACAUGACAUGAUUUAUGUUUAUUAAAAGGAAUAGGUAAGGGUUAGAGUUGUGGGACAUUUAGGAUUGGGGGUAGUGUUAGUUGAUUAUCAAUCUGAAUUAUGUUGGACUAUAUAAUCUUCAAAUUCUUUAGUUGUGUUUGUGUUUAUUUAUAUAGUAGUGAUUGAAGUGAUAUUUUACAAAAGAGAAAAUUAGUUGGGAUGCUUAGUGGCAUGGGGUGGAUUUAUGACCGUGAGGUCGAAAUUUACCGCACAUGGUUCACCUAAUGUAAUUUGUCUAUCGGACUUAGUUUGCAGGGUAUUAAAUUCGGUCGGGGGUUUACCUAAUGCGCACUUAGCGGCAGCGGAUUCCCACAUCGUAAAAAAAAUAAAAAAAAAUAAAAAAUGACACGACAUUUUCUAUAAUACUCCAUCCAUCAGUCAUUGUACUUAACAUUAAAAUUAUCAUUAUAUUUGUAUAAUUUUUUUUUUGUAUAAAUGUCACCGAUGAAAGUAUUCGUGUCGGGUUGAAUACUUUAAACAGGUUAAAUUACUCAAUCCUAACCUGACCCGUUUAUUAUCGUGUCGGGUUUGUAUUGACCCGUUUAUUAUCGUGUCGGGUUCGGAUUGACUCAUGUUGACCUGUGUACAUAAUUAAGUCAAAUUUUUUUAUUCAAAUUAAAUAAUUUUUUGUUAUGUUAUCGUGUUAUAUUAAUUUUAAUUAGUUUGAGUCUAAAUUAGGUUGAAUUAAUUUAAAUUAAACUUAAUUUAAAUUAAUUUAUGAGAAAAAUUAUCAAAUUAUAAUUAUUUUACAUAUAUAAUAAAUAUAUUAAUCAACAUUAAUAUAUUAUAAUCGGGUUAUCGUAUUGGGUUCGUGUCAACCCGUAUACAUAAUCGGGUUGAAAUCUUUGACCCAAACCCAAUUAUAUCGUGUCGGGUCAAUUUUUGCCAGCUCUAGUUUCAUUCCCCGUAGCGUUUUUGAAUUUUCGAAUGAAAUGAUUUUUUAUGUAUGGUAUAAAAAUUUGUGUCAAAAAUAUAAAAUAUAUUAUUAUUUUAGAUUUAGUAUUUGACUUUUUGUAAUGAAUUUUUUGACUUUUUUAUAACUAAUAUUUUGACUUUUUGACAUUUGUAUAAAAUAUUAUUUUUUAGAAUUCGCAAUCGAAAAACUGCAUUGGGAGAACAGGGCGAAGAUGUAUUAUGUGUUAAUUCACUUACAAUAUGCACGGCUGUAAUUAUAGCUGCAACAUGAGGAUUCACAGCACGAGGAAUUUCAAGCUUUUUCCCCUGGAAACCAACAGCUCCUACAACCUAGAAGAUCCAACGGAUGUUGUUAAGAAGC